UCUCCGUAGGUGAACCUGCGGAGGGAUCAUUACAGAGUUCAUGCCCUAACGGGUCGAUCUCCCACCCUAUGUUAUCAUUACUUUGUUGCUUCGGCGGGCCGUCAGGCCUCGGCUUGGGUCCCGGCUCUCGCUGGCAAGCGCUCGCCAGAGAACUCCAAAGUCAGAAUAUCAGUGUCGCCUGAGUUCUAAAUAAUAGUUAAAACUUUCAACAACGGAUCUAUUGGUUCUGGCAUCGGUGAAGAACGCAGCAGAACGGCAGACCACACGGUUGAACUCCAG
rnacentral:misc_RNA from 1 species